rnacentral:rRNA from 1 species
UGGUGGAGUGAUUUGUCUGCUUAAUUGCGAUAACGAACGAGACCAUAACCUGCUAAAUAGCCCGUAUUGCUUUGGCAGUACGCUGGCUUCUUAGAGGGACUAUCCGCUCAAGCGGAUGGAAGUUUGAGGCAAUAACA